rnacentral:rRNA from 1 species
AGAACGAACGCUGGCGGCGUGCUUAACACAUGCAAGUCGAACGCGAAAGGGACUUCGGUCCUGAGUAAAGUGGCGCACGGGUGAGUAACGCGUAGAUAACCUGUCUUCAUGUCUGGAAUAAUACGCCGAAAGGGGUACUAAUACCGGAUAUUCUUGCUUUUCAGUAAGUUAUGCAAGCAAAGGUGGCCUCUGCAUAUGCUACUGCAUGAAGAGGGGUCUGCGUACCAUUAGCUAGUAGGUGGGGUAAUGGCCUACCUAGGCGACGAUGGUUAGCGGGUCUGAGAGGAUGAUCCGCCACACUGGCACUGGAACACGGGCCAGACUCCUACGGGAGGCAGCAGUGAGGAAUAUUGCGCAAUGGGGGAAACCCUGACGCAGCGACGCCGCGUGAGUUGAGGAAGGCCUUCGGGUCGUAAAGCUCUGUCAAGAGGAAAGAAGUGUACAAUGGCUAAUACCUGUUGUAUUUGACGGUACCUCUAAAGGAAGCACCGGCUAACUCCGUGCCAGCCGCCGC